UUGCUUCGGCAGCACAUAUUCUAAAACUGGAACAGUUUAAAGAUUGGCAUGGCCCCUAUACAAAGACAACAGCACAUUCAUGAAGUGAGUUAAAUUUAA
rnacentral:snRNA from 1 species